GUGCACCAGUCGCGAAACCUCCGCAAUACACGAAAGUGUGACGGGGCCAUCCCGAGUGCCGUCCGCUGAGGACGGCUUUUCCCCAGUGUACACAGCUGGGGGAAUAAGGAGAGGGCAAGCCUGGUGUCAGCCGCCGCGGUAAUACCAGCUCUCCGAGUGGUGGGGACGCUUAUUGGGCCUAAAGCAUCCGUAGCCGGCUGGGCAAGUCCUCCGUUAAAUCCAACGAUUCAAUCGUUGGGCUGCGGGGGAUACUGUCCAGCUUGGGGGCGGGAGAGGCCGACGGUAUUCCCGGGGUAGGGGUGAAAUCCUAUAAUCCCGGGAGGACCACCAGUGGCGAAGGCUGUCGGCUAGAACGCGCCCGACGGUGAGGGAUGAAAGCUGGGGGGAGCGAACCGGAUUAGAUACCCCUGUAGU
rnacentral:rRNA from 1 species